AGCAGCCGCGGUAAUUCCAGCUCCAAUAGCGUAUAUUAAAGUUGUUGCAGUUAAAAAGCUCGUAGUUGAAUUUCGGGGUUAGUAGGUUGGUCGUGCCACUGGUACGUACUGGUCUCACUGAUUCCUCCCUUUUUCUGAAGAACUGUAAUGUCAUUAAUUUGGUGUUGCGGGGAAACAGGACUGUUACUUUGAAAAAAUUAGAGUGUUUAAAGCAGGCUCACGCUUGAAUACAUUAGCAUGGAAUAAUGAAAUAGGACGCUCGAUCCUAUUUUGUUGGUUUCUAGGAUUGACGUAAUGAUUAAUAGGGAUAGUUGGGGGCAUUAGUAUUCAAUUGUCAGAGGUGAAAUUCUUGGAUUUAUUGAAGACUAACUACUGCGAAAGCAUUUGCCAAGGAUGUUUUCAUUAAUCAAGAACGAAAGUUAGGGGAUCGAAGACGAUCAGAUACCGUCG
rnacentral:rRNA from 1 species